AUCCGCUCCAUCAGGAGUUCAUCUUGCAAGCCCAGGACAGGAGCAUAUUGACCAGCAAAUCCCUCACUGUUGGAGAUGAAAAGUCCUGAAUACUGCGUGAUGUCAUCCCCUACAAAGUAACAGGAAAAGCGAAGGUUAAUAUAAAAAAAUACUAUUGAAAGUAUAUGAUGUGAGUCAGUUUGUUUGCUUCGAGAUGAAAUACACCUGUGGACUGAAUCCUUCAGAAACAUCUUGCUAUUUUUUAACUGCUUUGCUGCAGCUGUGACAGACUAUUAUUUUCAUGGAUAAUUUUUUGUUGUUCCUGUAUUUGUAUUACAUUAUAUAUAUUCAGGAAUAUAUGUGUGUAUAUAUACAUAUAUGCAAUAUAUUAUCUAUCUCAUAUUUAAUUUUGUUAGAUCCCUACAUUUUCUUUAUUUUUAGUUCUGGAAACAGUCACUUCUA